rnacentral:rRNA from 1 species
AGGAUCAUUAUUGAAAUAAACUUGAUAAGUUGUUGCUGGUUCUCUAGGGAGCAUGUGCACACUUGUCAUCUUUGUAUCUCCACCUGUGCAUCUUUUGUAGACCUUUGGGUAUCUCUCUGAUUGCUUUUAGCAUUCAGGAUUGAGGAUUGACUUUUUCCGUCUUUCCCUUACAUUUCCAGGUCUAUGUUUUCUCAUAUACUCUAAUGUAUGUUAAUAGAAUGUAAUAAAUAGGCCUUUGUGCCUAUAAAUUGAUACAACUUUCAGCAACGGAUCUCUUGGCUCUCGCAUCGAUGAAGAACGCAGCGAAAUGCGAUAAGUAAUGUGAAUUGCAGAAUUCAGUGAAUCAUCGAAUCUUUGAACGCACCUUGCGCUCCUUGGUAUUCCGAGGAGCAUGCCUGUUUGAGUGUCAUUAAUAUAUCAACCCUUUUGGUUGAAUGUGGGUUUGCUGGCCGCUUUUGAGGUCAGCUCUCCUUAAAUGCAUUAGCGGACAACUUUUUGCCAAACGCUCAUUGGUGUGAUAAUUAUCUACGCUAUUGACGUGAAGCAGGUUCAGCUUCUAAUAGUCCAUUGACUUGGACAAAUUUAUUAAUGUGACCUCAAAUCAGGUAGGAUUACCCGCUGAACUUAA